rnacentral:rRNA from 1 species
UGGGGAAUAUUGGACAAUGGGCGCAAGCCUGAUCCAGCCAUGCCGCGUGAGUGAUGAAGGCCCUAGGGUUGUAAAGCUCUUUCACCGGUGAAGAUAAUGACGGUAACCGGAGAAGAAGCCCCGGCUAACUUCGUGCCAGCAGCCGCGGUAAUACGAAGGGGGCUAGCGUUGUUCGGAUUUACUGGGCGUAAAGCGCACGUAGGCGGACUUUUAAGUCAGGGGUGAAAUCCCGGGGCUCAACCCCGGAACUGCCUUUGAUACUGGCAGUCUUGAGUAUGGUAGAGGUGAGUGGAAUUCCGAGUGUAGAGGUGAAAUUCGUAGAUAUUCGGAGGAACACCAGUGGCGAAGGCGGCUCACUGGACCAUUACUGACGCUGAGGUGCGAAAGCGUGGGGAGCAAACAGG